rnacentral:lncRNA from 1 species
CACUACCAAUACGUAAGCGUGCAUGUACGCGUACAUAUCAGUGUUUAUAAACACCUGGAUAAUUAUAUAUAACUGAUAGCAAGCAACUAUAUACAUACUCUUAUAAACAUAUUAGUAUAUACAUAUCGUAUAUACACACAUAUCAGUCCAUAUAUAACAUACAAAUAUUUGUAGUAUAUAAAUCUGAGUGUGAGUGUAUGUGGUGUAAGUGUUAGUGUCAGCGUGUGUGAGUGUGAGUGUGUAAGUGUGAGUGUGAAUUAACGUGAGUGUGUGUAAUAUAUAAAUCAGUGUACCUAUACGUUAAUAACUGUAUAAACUGAUAAUAAGUGUAUAUAUGAUCAUAUACAUCAAUGUGUAUACACACAUAACAGUAUGUACACAUCGUAUAUAGACAGACGUCACACACACAUCAAUAAACGUGUUCCACACUAAUAACUGUAAAAAUAGCUAAUAACUAAGGUAUUAUAUGGUUAUAUGCAUCAAUAUAUAAAAAUACUGAAAACAAUGGUAUAUAAUGUUAUAUAUUAAUACAUAGACAAAUUGUGCUAAUAAUUAUAUAUACCACUGAUAGAAGUAUAUUCAUGGUCUUAUAUAUUAAUGUAUAUAUAAACUAUUUAUACAUAUGCAAAUGAAUGUGCAUAUAUACAUAUCAAUGUACAUAUACACUAAUAACAAUAUAAACUAUCAUGAAUUUAUAGAAGGGAUUAAACAUAUCAUUCAUCAUUUUUUGGAAUUCAGAUGGAGCAUUUUAUAUACUACAUACACACACAUAUAUAUAUAUAUAUAUAAACUACGCAUAUAUGUGUUGCGUUUGGACUGUUGAGUGUAUGCACAUACGAGAUGUAUAUACUGAUCUAUUUUUGUGUGUAUUUAUACAGUUGCUUACUAUCAGUUAUACAAAAUAAUCAUUUAAUAUAUACACUGAUAUGCGCACGUACAUGUACCCUUACACGUUGAUAAGUGCAUAUAUACUGUGUAUAUGUACACAAAUACAUGCAUUUUUUAUACAUUAUUAUAUAUGUCCAAAGAGACACUUAUUAGCAGUUUAUAUAUAUAGUGUGUUUAUAUAUGAUAUGUAUAUACUGAUAGGUUUAUGCAUGUAUAUGUAUACACUUGCUAUCAGUUAUAUAUAUGCUGAUAUGCGCAUACAUAUGUACCGUUACGCAUUUAUAACUUCAUACAUACUUUUCUAUAUACACUGAUAUCUAUGACCAUAUAAAUACUUAUUAUCAGUUUAUACAAUUAUUAGCGUAUAUGUACACUAAUAUGUAUAUACGCACACUCAUAUGCAUAUGUAUAACGUGUUUACAUAUACACUCAUAUAUAAGAUCUUUUAUAUACUUAUUAUCAGUGAUAUAUACAAUUAUCAGCACAAACAUAUCGCAUACAUACAUAUAAGACCAUACAAACACACACAUAUAUGUAGUAUAUAUAUGUGUAUAUAGUACAUAAAUCAGUAUAUAUACACGCUAAUAACUAUAUAGAUUGAUAAUAAGUACAUACACGAUCACAUACAUCAAUG